rnacentral:rRNA from 1 species
GACGAACGCUGGCGGCGUGCUUAACACAUGCAAGUCGAACGGAAAGGCCCUGCUUUUGUGGGGUGCUCGAGUGGCGAACGGGUGAGUAACACGUGAGUAACCUGCCCUUGACUUUGGGAUAACUUCAGGAAACUGGGGCUAAUACCGGAUAGGAGCUCCUGCUGCAUGGUGGGGGUUGGAAAGUUUCGGCGGGUGGGGGUGGACUCGCGGCUUACCAGCUUGUGGGGGGGGUAUGGGCUUACCAAGGCUUUGAUGGGUAGCCGGCCUGGGAGGGGGACCGGCCACCUUGGGCCUGGGAUACGGCCCGGACUCCUCCGGGGGGCAGCAGUGGGGAAUAUUGCACAAUGGGCGGAAGCCUGAUGCAGCAACGCCGCGUGCGGGAUGCCGGCCUUCGGGUUGUAAACCGCUUUCGCCUGUGACGAAGCGUGAGUGACGGUAAUGAGUAAAGAAGCACCGGCUAACUACGUG